AACGAACGCUGGCGGCAGGCCUAACACAUGCAAGUCGAACGGACCCUUCGGGGUUAGUGGCGCACGGGUGCGGAACACGUGGGAACAUACCCUUUGGUAAGGAAUAAUAUUUGGAAACGAAUACUAAUACCUUAUAAUAUCUUCGGAUCAAAGAUUUAUCGCCAAAGGAUUGGCCCGCGUCUGAUUAGCUUGUUGGUGAGGUAAUGGCUCACCAAGGCUACGAUCAGUAGGGGGUCUGAGAGGAUGAUCCCCCCACACUGGGACUGAGACACGGCCCAGACUCCUACGGGAGGCAGCAGUGAGGAAUAUUGCACAAUGGAGGAAACUCUGAUGCAGCCAUGCCGCGUGAGUGAAGAAGGCCUUAGGGUUGUAAAGCUCUUUCAAUGGUGAAGAUAAUGACGGUAGCCAUAGAAGAAGCCCCGGCUAAAUUCGUG
rnacentral:rRNA from 1 species